rnacentral:rRNA from 1 species
CAGUAGCCGCGGUAAUACAGAGGGUGCGAGCGUUAAUCGGAUUUACUGGGCGUAAAGCGUGCGUAGGCGGCUAAUUGAGUCGGAUGUGAAAUCCCUGAGCUUAACUUAGGAGUUGCAUUCGAUACUGGGAAGCUAGAGUAUGGGAGAGGAUGGUAGAAUUCCAGGUGUAGCGGUGAAAUGCGUAGAGAUCUGGAGGAAUACCGAUGGCGAAGGCAGCCAUCUGGCCUAAUACUGACGCUGAGGUACGAAAGCAUGGGGAGCAAACAGGAUUAGAUACCCCUGUAGUCCCUGUCUCUUAUAC